rnacentral:rRNA from 1 species
AUUGAACGCUGGCGGCAGGCCUAACACAUGCAAGUCGAACGGCAGCACGGAGCUUGCUCCUGCAUUCAGUGGCGGACGGGUGAGUAAUGCAUAGGAACCUGCCUGGUAGUGGGGGAUAACGUCCGGAAACGGGGACUAAUACCGCAUACGUCCUGAGGGUGAAAGUGGGGGACCGUAGGACCUCGCGCUAUUGGAUGAGCCGAUGUCGGAUUAGCUAGUUGGUGGGGUAAAGGCCUACCAAGGCGACGAUCCGUAGCUGGUCUGAGAGGAUGAUCAGCCACACUGGAACUGAGACACGGCCCAGACUCCUACGGGAGGCAGCAGUGGGGAAUUUUGGACAAUGGGGGCAAGCCUGAUCCAGCCAUGCCGCGUGCGGGAAGAAGGCCUUCGGGUUGUAAAGCGCUUUUGUUCGGGAAGAAAUGCAGUAGGCUAAUACCCCGCGGUGAUGACGGUACCGGAAGAAUAAGCACCGGCUAACUACGUG